rnacentral:rRNA from 1 species
CCGAGAAUAUUCCACAAUGGGCGAAAGCCUGAUGGAGCGACGUCGCGUGACUGAUGAAGUCUUUCGGGAUGUAAAGGUCUUUUAUCGGGGAGAAAGUCAUUGAUAGUACCCGAUGAAUAAGGGGUUGCUAAACUCGUGCCAGCAGCAGCGGUAAUACGAGUACCCCGAGCGUUAUCCGGAAUUAUUGGGCGUAAAGGGCGCGUAGGCGGACAUGUUAGUCCUUCGUUAAAUUUCCCGGCUUAACCGGGAACCCGCGAGGGAAACGGCAUGACUGGAGGAUGCGAGAGGUGUGCGGAACUCAUAGUGUAGGGGUGAAAUCCGUUGAUAUUAUGGGGAACACCAAAUGCGAAGGCAGCACACUGGCGUAUUCCUGACGCUGAGGCGCGAAAGCGUGGGGAUC